AAGAGGAAGUAGGGACACCGGAGACAUGCACAGGGAAAGGCCACACGAGGACACCGUGAGAAGGCAUUGGCAAGCCACAGGGAGAGGCCUCAGAAGCAGCCUAAGUUGCGGCCCCUUGAUCUUGGCCUUCUAGCCUCCAGAUUUAUGCAGUGAAGUCCUCUUUGGGGUUUAUGGGAUCACACCAGCCCACUGCUGUCCACCAACCCAUCAUGGAGGUUGAAUGCUGCACAACAACCCGAAAUCAGGAAAUCGGGUCCGGCCAGGUGAGCCCGAAGGCCAACAGAAGGCAAGGUUGCCAUUUCUGUUUUAUAUUAGCGUCUGAUCUUGACGCGUCUCUAAAACACGGGCAGCAAAGAGUUAAGGAAGAAACUGUAAAAAAAAUGAUAGAAACAAUAUGAGACCUCACAUCUCAACAGUUGCCAAAACUAGCAAAUAAUCAAAAUCUGACCACAAAACCUCUCCAGAUACACAAUGGCACCAAUACCAGCUUAAGAACAAAGCUGCCCAAUAUAUUUUUUAAAUCCCUCUUGUCUCCUACUCAUCUCCUGACCAAAUGUUGGCAAUGAACCGACUCACAGAAUUUGGAGCUGUAAAAGGGCCCAGAGAUUAACCAGAGCGGUAAUUCUCGGAGCGGCAAAUCAGAACCUGGAGAAGUGGGUGUUUAAAAGAAUGUCCAUUGUUGCAGUGGUCUACUGGGGGCCGGAGAGCAGGUUCGCUUUCUUCACACAACACACACAAUCACUCUGGAAACCCUCUCGGUGGAGGAGGUUUCAUCUUGGAGGAGAAAUGUGGACAUCGUUUCUGCCCACCAGGACAGUUCUGGUGGAGGGCCACACCAGGAUCUGAAAAGGUGAAAGAGGUGAUGUGCAGGAUGUAAAAUAAAUGUCAUCAAAAAAGAA